rnacentral:rRNA from 1 species
UACAGAGGGGGCAAGCGUUGUUCGGAAUUACUGGGCGUAAAGGGCGCGUAGGCGGCCCGCUAAGUCGAACGUGAAAUCCCCAGGCUUAACCUGGGAACUGCGUCCGAUACUGGUGGGCUUGAAUCCGGGAGAGGGAUGUGGAAUUCCAGGUGUAGCGGUGAAAUGCGUAGAUAUCUGGAGGAACACCGGUGGCGAAGGCGGCAUCCUGGACCGGUAUUGACGCUGAGGCGCGAAAAGCUAGGGGAGCAAACGGGG